rnacentral:rRNA from 1 species
UACAGAGGGUGCGAGCGUUAAUCGGAAUUACUGGGCGUAAAGCGUGCGUAGACGGUUAUUUAAGUCGGAUGUGAAAGCCCCGGGCUCAACCUGGGAAUUGCAUUCGAGACUGAAUAGCUAGGGUGCGGUAGAGGGAAGCGGAAUUUCCGGUGUAGCGGUGAAAUGCGUAGAUAUCGGAAGGAACAUCAGUGGCGAAGGCGGCUGCCUGGCCCAAUACUGACACUCAGGUGCGACAGCGUGGGGAGCAAACAGG